rnacentral:tRNA from 1 species
UUCGAGUUCGUCCAAUCGGCAGGACGCUUGACUUUGAAUCAAGAAAUAAAGGUUCGAUUCCUUUGCUCGAAGCCA